rnacentral:rRNA from 1 species
UACGGAGGGUGCGAGCGUUAUCCGGAUUCACUGGGUUUAAAGGGUGCGUAGGUGGGGAAGUAAGUCAGUGGUGAAAUCUCUGAGCUUAACUCAGAAACUGCCAUUGAUACUAUUUUUCUUGAAUUUUCCGGAGGUUAGCGGAAUAUGUCAUGUAGCGGUGAAAUGCUUAGAUAUGACAUAGAACACCAAUUGCGAAGGCAGCUAACUACAGGGAUAUUGACACUGAGGCACGAAAGCGUGGGGAUCAAACAGG